GUAAGCAACCCACUGCUUAAAGCAGUGGGCUUCAGCUAAACCCAGUUUAGUUGAAGCCAAGUUUACCAGACUAUCAGCCUUAAACAAGCUGGGUUUACAUUAAGUGUUAAAGUACUCACCUUGGGAUGCGUAGCUAGUUCCAAGCUCUGAAACCAGGUAAUUAAACAGACAUAAUGGUUUAAAGUCAGUGUUACUUGGAUAGUACCGGAUGUAAACAAAGUCAAAGCUAACUUUACCCGUAAGG
rnacentral:sRNA from 1 species